rnacentral:rRNA from 1 species
GGUUCAGGAUGAACGCUGGCGGCGUGCUUAACACAUGCAAGUCGAACGAAGCACCUCUAAUCGAAGAUUGAGAAAGCUUGCUUUGAUUGAUUCACCUUGAGGUGACUGAGUGGCGGACGGGUGAGUAACGCGUGGGUAACCUACCCUAUACAGGGGGAUAACAGUUGGAAACGACUGCUAAUACCGCAUAAGCGCACAGGACCGCAUGGUCUAGUGUGAAAAAACUCCGGCGGUAUAGGAUGGACCCGCGUCUGAUUAGCUAGUUGGUGAGGUAACGGCUCACCAAGGCGACGAUCAGUAGCCGACCUGAGAGGGUGACCGGCCACAUUGGGACUGAGGCACGGCCCAAACUCCUACGGGAGGCAGCAGUGGGGAAUAUUGCACAAUGGGCGAAAGCCUGAUGCAGCGACGCCGCGUGAACGAAGAAGUAUUUCGGUAUGUAAAGUUCUAUCAGCAGGGAAGAAAAAUGACGGUACCUGACUAAGAAGCUCCGGCUAAAUACGUGCCAGCCGCAGC